rnacentral:misc_RNA from 1 species
UACAUAUAGAUUGUGGAGCAAAA